GAGAGUACAGCUUAGUGGUAGACUGUCUGCCUCACAUGCACAAGGUCCUGGGUUCAAUCCCCAGUACUUCCA
rnacentral:tRNA from 1 species